rnacentral:rRNA from 1 species
AUUGAACGCUGGCGGCAGGCCUAACACAUGCAAGUCGAGCGAGUGGCGGACGGGUGAGUAAUGUCUGGGAAACUGCCUGAUAGAGGGGGAUAACUACUGGAAACGGUAGCUAAUACCGCAUACCAUCAGAUGUGCCCAGAUGGGAUUAGCUUGUUGGUGGGGUAACGGCUCACCAAGGCGACGAUCCCUAGCUGGUCUGAGAGGAUGAUAAGCCAACCGGGAACUGAGACACGGUCCAGACUCCUACGGGAGGCAGCAGUGGGGAAUAUUGCACAAUGGGCGCAAGCCUGAUGCAGCCAUGCCGCGUGUAUGAAGAAGGCCUUCGGGUUGUAAAGUACUUUCAGCGGGGAGGCGUUACCCGCAGAAGAAGCACCGGCUAACUCUGUGCCAGCAGCCGCGGUAAUAC